CGGGCGCGUGCCCGUAAAUUUGCACCCCGAGACGGUUGCCGUUCGCUUCUUGCAUGGCGCGGGAUUUGGCACCUGCCCGCGCUUCAUGGUCAUCCGUCAAGCGGCUUGCGGGUGCCGCAUGAAGCCGUUCGGGGUGCCUCCCAUGAACUCUGAUGAG
rnacentral:sRNA from 20 species